CAAACACUAUUGCGUUCUUGGAACAUACUUGAUAUAUCUUAUCCGUUGAAGUUGAAACGUACAUACAUUUAUAAAUUAUUAUUUAAAAAAAUAUAAAGAUUAUUAUGUGUUAUUGUGUGUCAAAUAAUAUUCAUCAUUAUUUCAAGUAGCCAAUGGUUGGGUGCUUGAGUUGUCUCUGAUCGUUGAUAUAUUUUUUUUUUGAUUGAGAAUUGCAAGCUAGACCUUCUGUACCAGUGUGUAUAAAGGUUUUCUUGCUGAUAGCAACACACAAAAAAAUUAUAAUUUUAUAAAUUAUUUAUACACUUAACAAUACAACUAAAAAGUGAAUUAAAAUUAUUAUAUUUUUAUUAUUAAAAAAUUAAUUAAAUAUUUUCGAAAAGAUGAAGUCCAUUGGAGUAAUUUUUUUGAUCGUUGGAUUUGCAUGUAUUUCAUCAUCUGCUGGUGAUAGCUUCAAAUGCACCGUUGCUCCUGCUGAAAUACCCUUGUCAUGGUUGGACAUGGUGGAUCCAUGUAU